rfam:Monodelphis domestica chromosome 2, whole genome shotgun sequence.
CUCCAGGGCAACCGUGGCUUUCGAUUGUUACUGUGGGAACCAGGGGUAACAGUCUACAGCCAUGGUCGCCCCGCAGCA